rnacentral:rRNA from 1 species
UACGUAGGUGGCAAGCGUUGUCCGGAUUUAUUGGGUUUAAAGGGUGCGUAGGCGGUUCCUUAAGUCAGGGGUGAAAUCCUGGAGCUCAACUCCAGAACUGCCUUUGAUACUGAGGAUCUUGAGUAUGGGAGAGGUGAGUGGAACUGCGAGUGUAGAGGUGAAAUUCGUAGAUAUUCGCAAGAACACCAGUGGCGAAGGCGGCUCACUGGCCCAUUACUGACGCUGAGGCACGAAAGCGUGGGGAGCAAACAGG